rnacentral:lncRNA from 1 species
AGCGCCGCCGGGUUCAUCUUCGCCGCCGUCGUUUCGACUCCCUCGCCGCCGCGACCACCGUCUCCACCAGCGCCGCCGCGGCUCUCCACCAGCGCCGCCGCGGCCCUCCGCCAACGCCGCCGCAGCGGGCCACGGCCAGAUCGAGCGCGCGGGCCACUGCACAGUACAUCAUCUUCCCCACGCGCGAUCUUCUUCGGCCGGCUGUGUGCUAAGUAUAGAUCGAGAACGACGCCAUUGAUUAAUUACGUAUUUAUAUACACUAGACCAGAGAAAUAUAUAUAUACACACAAAAAAUAUUACAUAUAUAUACAUAAAAAUAUAUACAAAAAAUAAUAUUACAAAUAAAAACACCAUAUAUAUACAUAUAUAUAUAUGUAUAUAUGGUGUUUUGAUUUGUAGUAUUAUUUUUUGUAUAUAUUUUUAUGUAUAUAUAUGUAAUUUUUUUUGUGUAUAUGUAUAUUAUAUAUAUGGUGUUUUGAUUUGUAGUAUUAUAUAUAGUAUGUAUAUUAUAUAUAGUAUGUAUAUAUUUUUUUUAUAUAUAUGUAAUUUUUUGUAUAUAUUUCUAGUAUAUAUAGUAUGUAUAUAUGUAAUUUUUUGUAUAUAUUUUUUUGUAUAUAUAUGUAAUUUUUUUGUAUGUAUGUUUUAUUUUUUGUAUAUAUGUAAUAUUUUUUGUAUGUAUGUAUAUUAUUUUUUGUACAUAUACACACACAUAUAUAUAGUUUGUAUGUAUGAAUUAUAAUUGUUUGUAUGUAUGUAUGUAUG